GACGAACGCUGGCGGCGUGCUUAACACAUGCAAGUCGAACGGAAAGGCCCUGCUUGCAGGGUACUCGAGUGGCGAACGGGUGAGUAACACGUGGGUGAUCUGCCCUGCACUUCGGGAUAAGCUUGGGAAACUGGGUCUAAUACCGGAUAGGAACCAUCUUUAGUGUGGUGGUUGGAAAGUUUUUUCGGUGUAGGAUGAGCUCGCGGCCUAUCAGCUUGUUGGUGGGGUAAUGGCCUACCAAGGCGGCGACGGGUAGCCGGCCUGAGAGGGUGUACGGCCACAUUGGGACUGAGAUACGGCCCAGACUCCUACGGGAGGCAGCAGUGGGGAAUAUUGCACAAUGGGCGCAAGCCUGAUGCAGCGACGCCGCGUGGGGGAUGAAGGCCUUCGGGUUGUAAACUCCUUUCGCUAGGGACGAAGCUUUGUUGUGACGGUACCUAGAUAAGAAGCGCCGGCUAACUACGUG
rnacentral:rRNA from 1 species